GACUGCAGGCUGCAACUCGCCUGCACGAAGUCGGAAUUGCUAGUAAUCGUAGGUCAGCAUACUACGGUGAAUACGUUCCCGGGCCUUGUACACACCGCCCCGUCAAACCAUGAGAGUUGGCAACACCCGAAGUCGGUAGUCUAACCGCAAGGAGGACGCCGCCGAAGGUGGGGUUGAUGAUUAGGGUUAAGUCGUAACAAGGUACC
rnacentral:rRNA from 1 species